AAAGAUCGAUAUGAUAGUAAUGAUGGAAGAGCAAUGUUGAUUGAUAAGCAUUCAAAUGGUUCUGUUAGAUUGCAUGGUGCUGAGAACGUUGAUAGGAAGAGGGAGAAGAUGGAGUAUACUGUAGCUCAACAUCCAGGGAUGGGUAGCAUACCAAAAGCGACUGAAGGGGAGCAAGUUGCAGCUGGAUGGCCUUCCUGGCUAGCUGCGGUGGCUGGAGAAGCAAUCAGGGGAUGGCUGCCACGGCGUGCAGAUUCUUUUGAGAAGCUGGAUAAAAUUGGCCAGGGAACUUACAGUAAUGUUUAUAGAGCUCGUGACCUUGAUAAGAAGAAGAUUGUUGCGUUGAAGAAAGUAAGGUUUGAUAAUCUGGAACCCGAGAGUGUUCGCUUUAUGGCCCGGGAAAUUCACAUUUUGCGUAGGCUUGACCAUCCUAAUGU
rnacentral:misc_RNA from 1 species